GUUGACUUCGCGAUGAAAGCGACAAGGUAAAAUUUGCUAGAACAACCAAAAAUGCUUCAGUGUACAUUUCAGAUUUACAAGGUCAUGUAGGAGUGGCCGAUAUUUGAGGAUUUAGGAGAAAUAAGUGCAAUGUCUGACAACAAUGAUGUAUGGGACUCAUCUGGAUGUGGGUCAAAGGAGAGGCAGGAGGGCACUAAAGAAUCAAGCGGAUUCUCUGAACAUGAUCUUCUCAACAUGAUGUAUGAGACAUGUAAC